UUUUGUUUUCAACAAGUCCUUUUCUAUAUCUAAUUUAACUUUAUAUUUAUUUUAUCUUCUAAAGACUUUUUGACAUACAAUAACUGACCUUCCAUUAAUAAGUUAUAAGUGUUUCCUAAAAAGUUUCAAAUCUAAAUGUUAAUUUUACCGGCCGCAAUUCCUCUACCUCUAAUAUAAAUAUAAGAAUAUAUUUAUAUAAUAUAAUAAUUAGAUAUAUCAUAGACUUUAACUUAAUAUAAUUAUGAAGUCGAAGAACUAAAAGCACUAGGAAUUUAUUUGAUAAUUUUCGACUCUCUAGGAGCACCCAACCUCAGGAAAAAAAUAAGAUAAAAAAAUUUAGCAGCAGCUCAUGCGUGGAAUGCAUUUAUAUAAGCACGUGCAGCCCACGUCCCUCAUACUAUAAAAGCCAAACAAAAAGUUAAAAAUCUCAAGAUCUUUUAAAGUUGUUUCGUGUAACAAAUCGCUAAUGAAAGGUUGGUAAUUUAAAAAGAAAUAUAGUAAUUAAUAACAUGGAAAGGGUUCUGAAAAGGUUAGAACAGAGAAAAACCCUGGACGAGAGGCCACAUCAGAGCAUAAAGAGAUCAAUAAUCCGCUUUAGUAUUUAUAUCUUCCAUAGUAGGCAAUUUUCAAAUAAUUGUUAUACGUGCAGUUCACGUUCUAAGCCGAGGUGAAUUAACAUAUUCCUUUGAGACUUAGCCCUCUAGGUUAAUAUAUCUGCUUGUUUAUGUAAAAUCACUUUUGGUGGGUGCCUGCUGGAAUAAACAUUAAAUUAAGUUUUUAUAGUUUUUAUAACAAAGCGACCUGUAGAAGUGCACAUGGGAAAUCUUGUUGCACGCAUAAAAUCAUAGUGAACUUAAUUUUUGUAUGGAUAUAGGAACCAAUAAAUUUCCUAACUAUGGCCCGGGGUUUAUUCUGAAAAUAUUAUUAGUAUUUAUGAGGGCGAGGUUUCGAGAUAUGCAAUCAAUCAAAAAAGAGUCAAGUCGGUGUACAUCAAACCCAUGACCUUGAGCGCGCGUCAAUGGUUUUCACCUCUGAGCUACGACAACCCUCCUCUCGAGUUCGGGAUUACUUCGGAGAAUUGGAAGGUGCUUAACGCCCCGUCGAAAGCUCCGCUCUUAAAAAUGGGGCUUUCAUGUCUGUGUGGUGGCUUACUUAAGAUAGUCUCGCUAAGUUUCUCUCCUCUGUAAUUCGACUCCUAUUGGCAGCUUAUGAAGUAAUAAUUCAUGUUCUUCCAUGCUUACGCUGGGUACAAACAAUUACCUGUGGAAUUACUUCUUCUGAGAGGAAAUGAAGCAGAGUCUGUUGGGCCCUUGGACAAUCAUUGGCAAGUAGACUUAUGUCUAAACGCUGCACCUUUUAGCUACUAAGUGCGUCUGAUUAGCUCUCGGUUGUAAGCUAGGUAUAUUGGGAAAUAAUUAUAACAGUAUUGCUCCGUUCCUGAGCCAUUGGUACAAUUUGGUGGCUAAGAAAAUUGAACGUACGAAUGUUAAUAGCCGCAACAUGAAAGUGUUGCUGAAGAAAAAGUGCUGUUGUGAAUAGUGUUAUUAACUAAUAUAUAUAUGGAGCGCGCGUCCCAAUUUUUUGGGGUUAGGUUACGAAUGCACUCUAAUGCAUCCCCCGAAGGAGUAUCAUGAUUGCCCAGGAGGACUUGGGGGUAGUGGAGGUAGUAUAUCUGCCUGAACUAUCAGAAUUUUUGUUUGUAGGAAAAUCGAAACGUAACCACCCAACCAGAAAGAUGCGAGUGGGCACCAACGGGAAUCGAACCGCGACCUUAAGUAUGCGCCCAAAGCUCUUAAUUGCUGAACUACAAACGACUAUUCUCGAUGCCUUACAUUUGAUCUCGUCAAAUUAUCUAUACCGUUUCACUUGAGCAUUCAGUAAAUAAAUUUCUGCCUCCUUAAAAGGGCGUCCCCGUUUGUCGUGGCAAAAAUUUCA